rnacentral:rRNA from 1 species
AUACGUAGGGGGCAAGCGUUGUCCGGAAUUACUGGGCGUAAAGAGCUCGUAGGCGGCUCAGCAAGUCGGUCGUGAAAGCCCGAGGCUCAACCUCGGAACUGCGGUCGAUACUGCUGAGGCUAGAGUCCGGUAGAGGAGAGUGGAAUUCCCGGUGUAGCGGUGGAAUGCGCAGAUAUCGGGAGGAACACCAGUGGCGAAGGCGGCUCUCUGGGCCGGUACUGACGCUGAGGAGCGAAAGCGUGGGGAGCAAACAGGAUUAGAAACCCUAGUAGUCC